UUCCUCCGUGCUCCCCGCCCGGCGCUACCUUUACCCCCUCACAGGAGCUGCCACCCCCCGAGCAGCCGACGGACACGCCCCCGCACGGGCCGGGCCCCCUCUGGGGCCUGCAGCGACCUCUGCAGCCCAACUUACUUCCCUAAACUUCUCCCUUCUGGCCUCCGCUCCGGAGAAGGUCCGACAAAGGCACUGGGGGUUUCUGCCGCGUUUCUAUGGAGAACGGAAUACGGGUUCCUGGCUUCUUCCUUAUGACGUAAUGAAUCCGCGCCGCCGUCGCCCCGGCACCCCGGGGGCCGCCAUCUUUGCACACCUGACGUACAGAAGGCUUUUGCGUCAGCGGCCGGCCGAGGCGACGCCGAGAAAAGGCGAAACUCUCCAGCUUCUGGCCCGUCAGCACGGAGAGGAAAGGAGAGGGAUAGAGAGUCAGAAACAUCGAUCAGCUGCCUCCUGCACACCCCCUACGGGGGAUGUGCCCUGAACAAAGGACUCAAGGUGUUUUAGCAGGACAUCUUUAUUGGAUCAAGGGAAUGACUGGGUAGAGGAAAGAGAACAAGAGCCCCACUCAGAAGAGUAAGAAGGAAUGAAAAGAAGAGAGGAAAAUCACGUCCAAUGAAGCACAUCACAGAGAAGAUGGGAUCUUUGAAGUGAUGGCAACUCUUAAAAAUGAUAAGCCUGUGAACAAAUAAAUACAAAUAAGGUUCUUCUACA